rnacentral:rRNA from 1 species
CCUACGGGAGGCAGCAGUGAGGAAUAUUGGUCAAUGGCCGGAAGGCUGAACCAGCCAUGCCGCGUGAAGGUCAGUGCCCUAUGGGCGUUAAACUUCUUUUGUGCGGGAGCAAUAAUGGUCACGUGUGGCCAGACGAGAGUACCGUACGAAUAAGCAUCGGCUAACUCCGUUCCAGCAGCCGCGGUAAUACGGGGGAUGCAAGCGUUAUCCGGAUUUAUUGGGUUUAAAGGGGGCGUAGGCUGUGAGGUAAGUCAGCGGUGAAAUGCCCCCGCUCAACGGGGUGAAGUGCCAUUGAUACUGGCUGGCUGGAAUGCGGAUGCCGUGGGAGGAAUGUGUGGUGUAGCGGUGAAAUGCAUAGAUAUCACACAGAACACCGAUUGCGAAGGCAUCUCACGAAGCCGCGAUUGACGCUGAUGCACGAAAGCGUGGGUAUCAAACAGGAUUAGAUACCCGAGUAGUC